CCCUUAGACGUUCUGGGCCGCACGCGCGCUACACUGACGAAGGCAACGAGCCUAUCCUUGACCGACAGGUCCGGGUAAUCUUUGAAUCUGCAUCGUGACGGGGAUAGAUUAUUGCAAUUAUUAAUCUUCAACGAGGAAUGCCUAGUAGGCGCAAGUCAUCAGCUUGCGUCGAUUACGUCCCUGCCCUUUGUACACACCGCCCGUCGCUCCUACCGAUUGGGUGUGCUGGUGAAAUGUUCGGAUCGGCCGUUUGUCGCGGUUUCCGCGUCAUGUGGCUGAGAAGUUCAUUAAACCCUCCCACCUAGAGGAAGGAGAAGUCGUAACA
rnacentral:rRNA from 1 species